UACGGGGGGGGCAAGCGUUGUUCGGAAUUAUUGGGCGUAAAGGGCGCGUAGGCGGUGCGGUAAGUCACCUGUGAAAUCUCCUGGCUCAACUGGGAGCUUGCAGGCGAAACUGCCGUGCUGGAGUGUGGGAGAGGUGCGUGGAAUUCCUGGUGUAGCGGUGAAAAUGCGUAGAUAUCAGGAGGAACACCUGUGGCGAAAAGCGGCGCACUGGACCACAACUGACUGAGGCGCGAAAGCUAGGGGGAGCAAACAGG
rnacentral:rRNA from 1 species